rfam:Salinicoccus halodurans strain H3B36, complete genome.
GAAUACCUGAGAAGUUCGUGAUGUGUUGAAUUAUAUUUUGACCUAACACCUUUUUAAACGGGAGCCUAAUUGGUUUUCCUGCAAAAAACAUGCCUGCCAGACAGGACGUUUGGAGCAGGAAACAGGGCACCCACCUGCAAAUAGCAGGCCAAAAUAAUCAACAAUAGCACACGGCUUAUGCUUGGAUAUUCC